rnacentral:rRNA from 1 species
GUGGGGAAUCUUGCGCAAUGGGCGAAAGCCUGACGCAGCCAUGCCGCGUGAAUGAUGAAGGUCUUAGGAUUGUAAAAUUCUUUCACCGGGGACGAUAAUGACGGUACCCGGAGAAGAAGCUCCGGAUAACUUCGUGCCAGCAGCCGCGGUAAUACGAAGGGGGCUAGCGUUGCUCGGAAUUACUGGGCGUAAAGGGUGCGUAGGCGGACAGCUUAGUCAGAGGUGAAAGCCCAGGGCUCAACAUUGGAAUUGCCUUUGAUACUGGCUGUCUUGAGUUUGGGAGAGGUGAGUGGAACUCCGAGUGUAGAGGUGAUAUUCGUAGAUAUUCGGAAGAACACCAGUGGCGAAGGCGACUCACUGGCCCAAUACUGACGCUGAGGGGCGAAAGCGUGGGGAGCAAACAGGAUUAGAUACCCUGGUAGUCC